rnacentral:lncRNA from 1 species
UUUUUUUUUUUUUUUUUUUGAUAGUCUUCUCUGGAACAUUCAUCCUCCAGAUUUCCCCCCAGUGCAGUGAAGAGUGACCUAUUGCUUUUGGUUUCCACAGGGAGGCAGUGUCGCUGUCAUAGUGUCAGCUCUGGAGGUAGAUCAAAGGGGGCUUUCAGCUCCUGGCUCUGCUCCCUACUAGCUGUGCGACUUUGGGCAAGUGACUCUUGCUUGGCUGGGCUUCACUUUCUGCAUUGGUCAAAUGCAGAAAGGGUAAUAGACCCUUCUGGGGUUGUUUGGAGGAUUAAAGGGAGAGCAGUAUGUCCGUGGUAAUCGCACGGCUGGCACACAGCUAGUGCUUGAAACUGUGAGCUGCUGUUAGGUUAGGGGCAGCAGUCUGGUCUCUGCAGAGAUGGGUCUCAGUUAAUUGUGAACUUAGACAGUUUGGCACUGAGGCUUUGGGGUCACUGUCCCAGGGGCACCCAAGUAAGCUUGUCUAAAUGAGAGGAACAGGAGCAUCAGGAGAAGGUGGGGGAGGGACCGAAGACCUAUGGGGAACAUGUGUGUACUGAAAUGGGCUUUCUCCCCACACCCUCCACACAAGCACAUACACACAUUAACUCAGGGUCAUGGCAUCAUAAAAACCUUGAGUUUAAACCAUCCCUUUCUUGUUGGGUCCAAAGGGACAGACUGUGGUUUUCUGUUGAAGGUUUACCCUCAGAUUCCUGUCAUAAUUUUUCUUUUCUAUUGAGCCCUGUCAUGAUGAUAAGCGAUGGCAGGUUGGUUCCUAGAUCAUACAUCAUAGACCUAGCACAGAAGUGUUUUCAGAAGAGCCUUUUCCUUACAAAACAGCAUGAAAGUCAUGGAGCCAGUGGAUACUGAGAUUUCAAACUGGAGCCAAUGGAUACUUAGAGGAGCCCUGUGGUGUAGAGUAGUUGCUACUUCUUGUUCACUAGGUCUAAUUAGCAUGUCAUCAAUGUAAUAGACUAGUGUGUUGUCUUGUAGAAAAGGUGAUCACGAUUCCUGUGAGCUAAACUAUGAUGUAGGGCUGGAAAAUUGAUGUACAAUAUACCUGAGGUAGGAUGGUGAGGGUGUAUUCCUGGUCUUGCCAGCUGAAAGCAAAUUGCUUCUGGUGGUCUUUACUAACAGUUAUUGAGAAAAAAAAGUAUUUUCAAGGUCAAGAGGUGCAUACUAGGUUCCAGGGAAUGUGUUAAUUUGCUUAAGAAAUGAAACCACAUCUGGAACAGCACUGCAAUUGGAGUCAUCACCUGGCUUAGUUUACAAUGACCCACUACCGUCUUCCAAGAUCCAUCUGGCUUCUGCAUAGGCCAAACAGAUUUUAAUCAGUGCCUUGGGAUGCCUGCCCUCCUCUCCCCAGAAAGCCUUGGUCCACAGACCUCGACCCUGGAAGAGUGAGUCGGAGUCAGGUCUUCGAGAGGUGGAGGGAUCGAAUGAGGGAACUGAUAUUCCAAGACUCCCCAAAUCUUGGAGCUUCACUCGCCAGGCAUCCCGCGCUUUCCUGACAUUCGCGCAGCAGCGGAGAGCUUUGCUACCCAGAGCAGGGAGGCGUGGCCACAGAGGCGCAGUCGAGCGGAGGAAGAGGAAAGUGGCCUCCGGGGAAGCCAGAGCUGACUGAAGGUAACCGAGAAGCUGAUUUUCUCUUUAGAUUUGACUGGCGAUCCCCUGAGAAAUACCGGCCGCUCCUGCCAGUUGCAGCCUUUGGGUCUGCUGUGUAGCGAGGAAUGGGGGUGGGGGACGUGAUACAGUAUUUUUCAGUAGGCAGUGGCGCCACUGACAGGCGGCAGAUCGGCUGGAGAGCUGGUGGGACUUGUCCACAGCGAGGCCGCCUGACCGCGGGCUCCUACAGCCACUUCUUACCUACGGAAGCAACUUCUUUCUACCGGAUGUACAAAUAUAACCCAGGGAUGCUAGUGAAUCACACUCAAAGGCUGCCCACGUUCAGAGUUCUUGUGGGCAACCCUGUGGUUGAUCUAGAAGUUGUAGUGAAUCAGGGAUGGGGAUUUGGGGCAGUAAUGUCUACCACCACACCCAGCGAAACUUCCUGAUUUUUGAUGGCUUAUGAACAUAACACUAAAGAAAGAGUCAUUUCAACAUUAAAGACGAUGGCUUCUGCUGACAUACACACACACACACACACACACACACACACACACGAAGUGUUCCUGUACCUCCUGAGCCUGAAUGGUCAGCAAGGAGCCAACCAUUAUUUUGAAUACCUGUGGCAUCCUUGAAAGAAUUUUGUUGCUAUUUCUUCUGGAUCACCUCGGGAAAAUCAGUUUUGAGGACAUGUUAAGUCAGGAGAAAGGUUGCCAUUACUAGGACCCUUCCCGUCUAUGAAGAACCUUAAUCAUCACCAUCUCUCUUUCGUUUUUGUUUUUAACCACCUGACAUUUGUAUAUGUGUAAAGGAAGGCCAUCUGUAAAGUUUUCCAGUUAAAGUAAACAAAAGAUUUAAUACACAAGUACAAACCUGUGCAGUGCCCUUUAUAAGUCUUUCAAAGAAGUACUACACCUUGCCACAUCAAAUGUUGAUGAUCUGCUUGCUUAGCGGGGGGACAUUUGCUUACUUUUUCUCUAGUUACUUCUACUCUGAUCUUGCUGUCUCAGUUCUCCUACCAGCAUUGAUACAGUAUAAAAGGAAAUAUUAAGAGUUCCAUUUAGUAAAGUCUUCAGUCUAAGUGAGAUGAAGGGGUAUAGAAACUAUUUUUCCUCUGACUAAAGAAAAAUGAUUGGGAUGAUCUGUUAAAGUUUCGAGAAACUCAAAUAGGCCCUAUUUGCCAAUAUAGGACAGGAAACCCACAGAUUAAGUAUUGGAUAAUCUCAAAGUUCAUUUUGGCCAAUUGGUGCCAGUUUUCUCACCCACCAAUCUUUCCUCAACUGUUAAAAAAAAAAAAAAAAAAAAAAA